rnacentral:rRNA from 1 species
AGCGUACACGGUGGAUGCCUAGGCAGUCAGAGGCGAUGAAGGGCGUGCUAAUCUGCGAUAAGCGUCGGUAAGGUGAUAUGAACCGUUACAACCGACGAUACCCGAAUGGGGAAACCCAGUGCAAUUCGUUGCACUAUUGCAUGGUGAAUACAUAGCCAUGCAAGGCGAACCGGGGGAACUGAAACAUCUAAGUACCCCGAGGAAAAGAAAUCAACCGAGAUUCCCCCAGUAGCGGCGAGCGAACGGGGAAGAGCCCAGAGUCUGAAUCAGUUUGUGUGUUAGUGGAAGCGUCUGGAAAGUCGCACGGUACAGGGUGAUAGUCCCGUACACAAAAACACACCUUCUGUGAACUCGAUGAGUAGGGCGGGACACGUGACAUCCUGUCUGAAUAUGGGGGGACCAUCCUCCAAGGCUAAAUACUCCUGACUGACCGAUAGUGAACCAGUACCGUGAGGGAAAGGCGAAAAGAACCCCGGCGAGGGGAGUGAAAUAGAACCUGAAACCGUGUACGUACAAGCAGUGGGAGCACCUUCGUGGUGUGACUGCGUACCUUUUGUAUAAUGGGUCAGCGACUUAUAUUUUGUAGCAAGGUUAACCGAAUAGGGGAGCCGUAGGGAAACCGAGUCUUAACUGGGCGUCUAGUUGCAAGGUAUAGACCCGAAACCCGGUGAUCUAGCCAUGGGCAGGUUGAAGGUUGGGUAACACUAACUGGAGGACCGAACCGACUAAUGUUGAAAAAUUAGCGGAUGACUUGUGGCUGGGGGUGAAAGGCCAAUCAAACCGGGAGAUAGCUGGUUCUCCCCGAAAGCUAUUUAGGUAGCGCCUCGUGAACUCAUCUUCGGGGGUAGAGCACUGUUUCGGCUAGGGGGUCAUCCCGACUUACCAAACCGAUGCAAACUCCGAAUACCGAAGAAUGUUAUCACGGGAGACACACGGCGGGUGCUAACGUCCGUCGUGAAGAGGGAAACAACCCAGACCGCCAGCUAAGGUCCCAAAGUCAUGGUUAAGUGGGAAACGAUGUGGGAAGGCAUAGACAGCCAGGAUGUUGGCUUAGAAGCAGCCAUCAUUUAAAGAAAGCGUAAUAGCUCACUGGUCGAGUCGGCCUGCGCGGAAGAUGUAACGGGGCUAAACCAUGCACCGAAGCUGCGGCAGCGACGCUUAGGCGUUGUUGGGUAGGGGAGCGUUCUGUAAGCCGUUGAAGGUGGCCUGUGAGGGCUGCUGGAGGUAUCAGAAGUGCGAAUGCUGACAUAAGUAACGAUAAUGCGGGUGAAAAACCCGCACGCCGGAAGACCAAGGGUUCCUGUCCAACGUUAAUCGGGGCAGGGUGAGUCGACCCCUAAGGCGAGGCUGAAAAGCGUAGUCGAUGGGAAACAGGUUAAUAUUCCUGUACUUGGUGUUACUGCGAAGGGGGGACGGAGAAGGCUAGGCUAGCCGGGCGACGGUUGUCCCGGUUUAAGCAUGUAGGCGGAGUGACUUGGUAAAUCCGGUUGCUUAUCAACGCUGAGGUGUGAUGACGAUGCACUACGGUGCAGAAGUAGUUGAUGCCAAGCUUCCAGGAAAAGCCUCUAAGCAUCAGGUAACAUUGAAUCGUACCCCAAACCGACACAGGUGGUCAGGUAGAGAAUACUCAGGCGCUUGAGAGAACUCGGGUGAAGGAACUAGGCAAAAUGGUGCCGUAACUUCGGGAGAAGGCACGCUGGCAUUAGGUAAAGAGACUUGCUCUCGGCGCCGAAGCCAGUCGCAGAUACCAGCUGGCUGCAACUGUUUAAUAAAAACACAGCACUGUGCAAACACGAAAGUGGACGUAUACGGUGUGACGCCUGCCCGGUGCUGGAAGGUUAAUUGAUGGGGUCAGCCGCAAGGCGAAGCUCUUGAUCGAAGCCCCAGUAAACGGCGGCCGUAACUAUAACGGUCCUAAGGUAGCGAAAUUCCUUGUCGGGUAAGUUCCGACCUGCACGAAUGGCGUAAUGAUGGCCAGGCUGUCUCCACCCGAGACUCAGUGAAAUUGAACUCGCUGUGAAGAUGCAGUGUACCCGCGGCAAGACGGAAAGACCCCGUGAACCUUUACUAUAGCUUGACACUGAACAUUGAGCCUUGAUGUGUAGGAUAGGUGGGAGGCAUUGAAGUGUGGACGCCAGUCUGCAUGGAGCCAACCUUGAAAUACCACCCUUUAAUGUUUGAUGUUCUAACUCGGCC